rnacentral:tRNA from 1 species
GAGAUGGCCGAGUGGUUUAAAGCAGUAGUUUGCUAAACUAUCAUAUACAUAAUGAAUUAUGUAUAUCAUGGGUUCGAAUCCCAUUCUCUUCA